GGGUUGUGAGGUUAAGCGACUAAGCGUACACGGUGGAUGCCCUGGCAGUCAGAGGCGAUGAAGGACGUGCUAAUCUGCGAUAAGCGUCGGUAAGGUGAUAUGAACCGUUAUAACCGGCGAUUUCCGAAUGGGGAAACCCAGUGUGUUUCGACACACUAUCAUUAACUGAAUCCAUAGGUUAAUGAGGCGAACCGGGGGAACUGAAACAUCUAAGUACCCCGAGGAAAAGAAAUCAACCGAGAUUCCCCCAGUAGCGGCGAGCGAACGGGGAGCAGCCCAGAGCCUGAAUCAGUGUGUGUGUUAGUGGAAGCGUCUGGAAAGGCGCGCGAUACAGGGUGACAGCCCCGUACACAAAAAUGCACAUGCUGUGAGCUCGAUGAGUAGGGCGGGACACGUGGUAUCCUGUCUGAAUAUGGGGGGACCAUCCUCCAAGGCUAAAUACUCCUGACUGACCGAUAGUGAACCAGUACCGUGAGGGAAAGGCGAAAAGAACCCCGGCGAGGGGAGUGAAAAAGAACCUGAAACCGUGUACGUACAAGCAGUGGGAGCACGCUUAGGCGUGUGACUGCGUACCUUUUGUAUAAUGGGUCAGCGACUUAUAUUCUGUAGCAAGGUUAACCGAAUAGGGGAGCCGAAGGGAAACCGAGUCUUAACUGGGCGUUAAGUUGCAGGGUAUAGACCCGAAACCCGGUGAUCUAGCCAUGGGCAGGUUGAAGGUUGGGUAACACUAACUGGAGGACCGAACCGACUAAUGUUGAAAAAUUAGCGGAUGACUUGUGGCUGGGGGUGAAAGGCCAAUCAAACCGGGAGAUAGCUGGUUCUCCCCGAAAGCUAUUUAGGUAGCGCCUCGUGAAUUCAUCUCCGGGGGUAGAGCACUGUUUCGGCAAGGGGGUCAUCCCGACUUACCAACCCGAUGCAAACUGCGAAUACCGGAGAAUGUUAUCACGGGAGACACACGGCGGGUGCUAACGUCCGUCGUGAAGAGGGAAACAACCCAGACCGCCAGCUAAGGUCCCAAAGUCAUGGUUAAGUGGGAAACGAUGUGGGAAGGCCCAGACAGCCAGGAUGUUGGCUUAGAAGCAGCCAUCAUUUAAAGAAAGCGUAAUAGCUCACUGGUCGAGUCGGCCUGCGCGGAAGAUGUAACGGGGCUAAACCAUGCACCGAAGCUGCGGCAGCGACGCUGAUGCGUUGUUGGGUAGGGGAGCGUUCUGUAAGCCUGCGAAGGUGUGCUGUGAGGCAUGCUGGAGGUAUCAGAAGUGCGAAUGCUGACAUAAGUAACGAUAAAGCGGGUGAAAAGCCCGCUCGCCGGAAGACCAAGGGUUCCUGUCCAACGUUAAUCGGGGCAGGGUGAGUCGACCCCUAAGGCGAGGCCGAAAGGCGUAGUCGAUGGGAAACAGGUUAAUAUUCCUGUACUUGGUGUUACUGCGAAGGGGGGACGGAGAAGGCUAUGUUGGCCGGGCGACGGUUGUCCCGGUUUAAGCGUGUAGGCUGGUUUUCCAGGCAAAUCCGGAAAAUCAAGGCUGAGGCGUGAUGACGAGGCACUACGGUGCUGAAGCAACAAAUGCCCUGCUUCCAGGAAAAGCCUCUAAGCAUCAGGUAACAUCAAAUCGUACCCCAAACCGACACAGGUGGUCAGGUAGAGAAUACCAAGGCGCUUGAGAGAACUCGGGUGAAGGAACUAGGCAAAAUGGUGCCGUAACUUCGGGAGAAGGCACGCUGAUAUGUAGGUGAAGUCCCUCGCGGAUGGAGCUGAAAUCAGUCGAAGAUACCAGCUGGCUGCAACUGUUUAUUAAAAACACAGCACUGUGCAAACACGAAAGUGGACGUAUACGGUGUGACGCCUGCCCGGUGCCGGAAGGUUAAUUGAUGGGGUUAGCCGCAAGGCGAAGCUCUUGAUCGAAGCCCCGGUAAACGGCGGCCGUAACUAUAACGGUCCUAAGGUAGCGAAAUUCCUUGUCGGGUAAGUUCCGACCUGCACGAAUGGCGUAAUGAUGGCCAGGCUGUCUCCACCCGAGACUCAGUGAAAUUGAACUCGCUGUGAAGAUGCAGUGUACCCGCGGCAAGACGGAAAGACCCCGUGAACCUUUACUAUAGCUUGACACUGAACAUUGAGCCUUGAUGUGUAGGAUAGGUGGGAGGCUUGGAAGUGUGGACGCCAGUCUGCAUGGAGCCGACCUUGAAAUACCACCCUUUAAUGUUUGAUGUUCUAACGUUGACCCGUAAUCCGGGUUGCGGACAGUGUCUGGUGGGUAGUUUGACUGGGGCGGUCUCCUCCUAAAGAGUAACGGAGGAGCACGAAGGUUGGCUAAUCCUGGUCGGACAUCAGGAGGUUAGUGCAAUGGCAUAAGCCAGCUUGACUGCGAGCGUGACGGCGCGAGCAGGUGCGAAAGCAGGUCAUAGUGAUCCGGUGGUUCUGAAUGGAAGGGCCAUCGCUCAACGGAUAAAAGGUACUCCGGGGAUAACAGGCUGAUACCGCCCAAGAGUUCAUAUCGACGGCGGUGUUUGGCACCUCGAUGUCGGCUCAUCACAUCCUGGGGCUGAAGUAGGUCCCAAGGGUAUGGCUGUUCGCCAUUUAAAGUGGUACGCGAGCUGGGUUUAGAACGUCGUGAGACAGUUCGGUCCCUAUCUGCCGUGGGCGCUGGAGAACUGAGGGGGGCUGCUCCUAGUACGAGAGGACCGGAGUGGACGCAUCACUGGUGUUCGGGUUGUCAUGCCAAUGGCACUGCCCGGUAGCUAAAUGCGGAAGAGAUAAGUGCUGAAAGCAUCUAAGCACGAAACUUGCCCCGAGAUGAGUUCUCCCUGACUCCUUGAGAGUCCUGAAGGAACGUUGAAGACGACGACGUUGAUAGGCCGGGUGUGUAAGCGCAGCGAUGCGUUGAGCUAACCGGUACUAAUGAACCGUGAGGCUUAACCUUACAACGCCGAAGGUGUUU
rnacentral:rRNA from 1 species